rnacentral:rRNA from 1 species
AUUGAACGCUGGCGGCAGGCUUAACACAUGCAAGUCGAGCGGGGUGAUGGUGCUUGCACUAUCACUUAGCGGCGGACGGGUGAGUAAUGCUUAGGAAUCUGCCUAUUAGUGGGGGACAACAUCUCGAAAGGGAUGCUAAUACCGCAUACGUCCUACGGGAGAAAGCAGGGGACCACUUGUGACCUUGCGCUAAUAGAUGAGCCUAAGUCGGAUUAGCUAGUUGGUGGGGUAAAGGCCUACCAAGGCGACGAUCUGUAGCGGGUCUGAGAGGAUGAUCCGCCACACUGGGACUGAGACACGGCCCAGACUCCUACGGGAGGCAGCAGUGGGGAAUAUUGGACAAUGGGGGGAACCCUGAUCCAGCCAUGCCGCGUGUGUGAAGAAGGCCUUAUGGUUGUAAAGCACUUUAAGCGAGGAGGAGGCUCUUUUGGUUAAUACCCAAGAUGAGUGGACGUUACUCGCAGAAUAAGCACCGGCUAACUCUGUGCCAGCAGCCGCCGUAA